AGUGCACGCUGGCGGUAGGCCUAACACAUGCAAGUCGAACGGCAGCACAGUAAGAGCUUGCUCUUACGGGUGGCGAGUGGCGGACGGGUGAGGAAUACAUCGGAAUCUACUUUUUCGUGGGGGAUAACGUAGGGAAACUUACGCUAAUACCGCAUACGACCUACGGGUGAAAGCAGGGGAUCUUCGGACCUUGCGCGAUUGAAUGAGCCGAUGUCGGAUUAGCUAGUUGGCGGGGUAAAGGCCCACCAAGGCGACGAUCCGUAGAUGGUCUGAGAGGAUGAUAAGCCACACUGGAACUGAGACACGGUCCAGACUCCUAAGGGAGGCAGCAGUGGGGAAUAUUGGACGAUGGGCGCAAGCCUGAUCCAGCCAUACCGCGUGGGUGAAGAAGGCCUUCGGGUUGUAAAGCACUUUUGUUGGGAAAGAAAAGCAGCAGGUUAAUACCGCGCUGUUCUGACGGUACCCAAAGAAUAAGCACCGGCUAACUUCGUG
rnacentral:rRNA from 1 species